rnacentral:rRNA from 1 species
GAGCUUGCUCUCGGGUGACGAGUGGCGGACGGGUGAGUAAUGUCUGGGAAACUGCCUGAUGGAGGGGGAUAACUACUGGAAACGGUAGCUAAUACCGCAUAACGUCGCAAGACCAAAGAGGGGGACCUUCGGGCCUCUUGCCAUCAGAUGUGCCCAGAUGGGAUUAGCUAGUAGGUGGGGUAACGGCUCACCUAGGCGACGAUCCCUAGCUGGUCUGAGAGGAUGACCAGCCACACUGGAACUGAGACACGGUCCAGACUCCUACGGGAGGCAGCAGUGGGGAAUAUUGCACAAUGGGCGCAAGC